rnacentral:rRNA from 1 species
CUACGGGACACAGCAGGCGAGAAAACUUUGCAAUGCGCGAAAGCACGACAAGGUUAAUCCGAGUGGUUUCUGCUAAAGGAACCUUUUGACAGUCCUAGAAACACUGUUGAAUAAGGGGUGGGCAAGUUCUGGUGUCAGCCGCCGCGGUAAAACCAGCACCUCAAGUGGUCAGGAUGAUUAUUGGGCCUAAAGCAUCCGUAGCCGGCUCUGUAAGUUUUCGGUUAAAUCUGUACGCUCAACGUACAGGCUGCCGGGAAUACUGCAGAGCUAGGGAGUGGGAGAGGUAGACGGUACUCGGUAGGAAGGGGUAAAAUCCUUUGAUCUAUUGAUGACCACCUGUGGCGAAGGCGGUCUACCAGAACACGUCCGACGGUGAGGGAUGAAAGCUGGGGGGGCAAACCGGAUUAGAUACCCGAGUAGUC